AGCUUGUGGAUGUUCCCAAAAUGAGUUACACAUCAGAGGAUCAGCCUCAUCCUCGUGGAGAUAUUUGUGUAGAGGUCCUAUUAUUUUUCAAGGCUACUAAAAAGAUGAAGUGCUGACGAAGGAGGUAAUUGAUGAUGACGGUUGGCUGCAUACUGGUGAUAUUGGAUUAUGUUACCUGGAGGCCGCUUGAAGAUUAUUGACAGGAAGAAGAAUAUCUUCAAGUUGGCAGAGGGUGAAUAGCUCCUAAGAAAAUUGAGAACGUUUAUGCUACAUGCAAAUUUAGUGCACAAUGCUUUGUCCAUGGUGAUAGUUUUAAUUCCUCUUUAGUAGCAGUAGUUUGUGUAGAGCCAGAUGCAGUGUUGUGAAAGGCGAGCGCCUCGUCGCCAAAGGCGUGAGGCGUGGGAAGGCAAGGCAGUGCCGUCAUUUAGGGUUAAGGCGAUGGCACUUCGAAAAGGCGCUGAGGCGAGGCGAGCAGUGAAGGCGUUGCCUUUGGGUUUUUUUUUUUUUUUUUUAAAGAAAUUGAAGAAACUUAAAUGAUAUGACAGCGGCUAGGGUUUUUUGUUUGUACUUGCUUCUUCUCUUCUCUUCUCCUUCAGGCUUCAGGUAUGCUUCUCUCUUACUCCUUUUUCUUCAGUUCUUCUUCUUUUUUUAUCCUCUGUUUCCGGCGACUGCUCCUCUGUUUUCUUUAUCUUCUGCAUUUUUUUUCCUUCUUCAAUUUUCUUCUUCUUUUUCUGUACGCAACUUGCGACUUUCUCCUCUGUUUUUUUUUCUUUUUCUAUUUUCUCCUCUGUUUUUUUUUUUUUUUUUUUUGUCGUCAACUGCACCAGUGAGGCAGUGACUGUUUUGCUCCUGUUUUUUCUGUUCAAUAAUUGUUAACUCUUUUUAUAAACAGUAGGUUCAAAUUCAAUGAUAAUAGCAAAAAAGACAUAGGUUGGAAUUAUGGGACCAAAGGCUCAACAAAAGAUCAAGUUAUAUGUAUCUACUAUCUACUUUUAAUUUUUGAAUUGAAAUAUUUGCUAAUAUGUUAUUGCUAGUGAGAUUUUGAUUAUUUAUAUAUGCAAUUAAAUAUUUUAAUUUUUUGGUAUUUAUUGGCGCGCACUUCAAAAAGGCGAGCGGCGAGCCUUAAGGCGAGGCAGGCCCUUGUCGCCUUUUGUCGCCGCGCUCCGUCCAAAACACUGUCCAGAUGUGUUGAAGGAGUGGGCAUCAUCUGAGGGAAUCAAGGUAGCUCUUACUUUUCAACAUUUAGCCAUUGCGUAUUUGCAUUUACGUCUUGUGAAAUGCUUC